AUUGAACGCUGGCGGCAUGCCUUACACAUGCAAGUCGAACGGUAACAGGUCUUCGGAUGCUGCCGAGUGGCGAACGGGUGAGUAAUACAUCGGAACGUGCCUAGUAGUGGGGGAUAACUACGCGAAAGAGUGGCUAAUACCGCAUGAGAUCUCCGGAUGAAAGCAGGGGAUGGGAAAACGUUGUGCUACUAGAGCGGCCGAUGGCGGAUUAGGUAGUUGGUGGGGUAAAAGCUUACCAAGCCGACGAUCUGUAGCUGGUCUGAGAGGACGAUCAGCCACACUGGGACUGAGACACGGCCCAGACUCCUACGGGAGGCAGCAGUGGGGAAUUUUGGACAAUGGGCGCAAGCCUGAUCCAGCAAUGCCGCGUGCAGGAUGAAGGCCUUCGUGUUGUAAACUGCUUUUGUACGGAACGAAAAGCCCUGGGUUAAUACCCUGGGGUCAUGACGGUACCGUAAGAAUAAGCACCGGCUAACUACGUGCCAGCAGCCGCCGUAAGAC
rnacentral:rRNA from 1 species